AAAAAAUAGUUUUUAAACAUUCAAGUCUGAAGUAAUGACCACUAACAUUUCUGCAUGAGUGAAAGCCGACGAGCGUUCCAUUCGUUAGAGGUAGGGCAAUGCGCCAGCGAAAGUAGGUAUUGUCAUAAUAAUCUAUUUUUCUAUAAACUGAGUCGGGAUUCUCUUAAUAGAAAUGCUUAAGUCAUGUGGAGAAGUCUAAGAUAGGAGUCACAACCCUAAGUCAUGU
rnacentral:lncRNA from 1 species